UACGUAGGGUGCAAGCGUUGUCCGGAAUUAUUGGGCGUAAAGCGUGCGCAGGCGGUUAUGCAAGACAGAGGUGAAAUCCCCGGGCUCAACCUGGGAACUGCCUUUGUGACUGCAUAGCUAGAGUACGGUAGAGGGGGAUGGAAUUCCGCGUGUAGCAGUGAAAUGCGUAGAUAUGCGGAGGAACACCGAUGGCGAAGGCAAUCCCCUGGACCUGUACUGACGCUCAUGCACGAAAGCGUGGGGAGCAAACAGG
rnacentral:rRNA from 1 species